rnacentral:rRNA from 1 species
UGGGGGAUAUUGCACAAUGGAGGAAACUCUGAUGCAGCGACGCCGCGUGUAGGAAGACGGUCCUCUGGAUUGUAAACUACUGUCUUCAGGGACGAUAAUGACGGUACCUGAGGAGGAAGCUCCGGCUAACUACGUGCCAGCAGCCGCGGUAAUACGGAGGAUCCGAGCGUUAUCCGGAUUUAUUGGGUUUAAAGGGAGCGUAGGUGGAUUGUUAAGUCAGUUGUGAAAGUUUGCGGCUCAACCGUAAAAUUGCAGUUGAAACUGGCAGUCUUGAGUACAGUAGAGGUGGGCGGAAUUCGUGGUGUAGCGGUGAAAUGCUUAGAUAUCAGGAGGAACACCAGUGGCGAAGGCGGCUUACUGGACGAUCACUGACGUUGAGGCUCGAAAGCGUGGGGAGCAAACA